rnacentral:rRNA from 1 species
UAUGUGAUCGUCUCUCGCAUAUCAAUAAGCGGAGGAAAAGAAACUAACAAGGAUUCCCCUAGUAACGGCGAGUGAAGCGGGAAGAGCUCAAAUUUGAAAUCUUAAAGGGUUUCCCUUUACGAAUUGUAGUUUAAAGAAGUGUUUUCUGUUGAGGUUUUGGUAAAAGUUCUUUGGAAUAGGACAUCAUAGAGGGUGAGAAUCCCGUAUUUGACCUUUACUUUCAACUUUGUGAUACACUUUCAAAGAGUCGGAUUGUUUGGGAAUGCAGUCCAAAAUGGGUGGUAAAUUUCAUCUAAAGCUAAAUAUUGGCGAGAGACCGAUAGCGAACAAGUACCGUGAGGGAAAGAUGAAAAGAACUUUGAAAAGAGAGUUAAACAGUACGUGAAAUUGUCAAAAGGGAAGCGUUUGACACCAGUGUUGUUUUUCUGAAAAUCAAUUAAAGAACUGUUUAUGCUAAGUUGUUUAGACUUUAUCAGCUAACUGUUUAGUUUUGAGCUUUUCUUUAAUGCACUUUUCAGUUAACAAGUCAACAUCAAUUUCUUUUGCUGUAAAAAAGCUAGAGGAAGGUGGCUUGAGAUUCGUCUUAAGUGUUUAUAGCCUCUUGCCUAUGCAGUCGGAGAGAUUGAGGUCUGCAGCGUAGAUCCUUCGGGGCUAAAUGCAUUUGUGCUAAGUUAUAGCAUUUUAUAGACAACUUGUUGACUAUGAUUUGUCUUGUAGCUUACUCGCUUAUGUUAUUUUACCUACGCUUAGGAUGUUGAGUAGCGACAUACGCAC